rnacentral:rRNA from 1 species
GGUGACCUGCGGAGGAUCAUUACCGAGUGUAGGGUUCCUAGCGAGCCCAACCUCCCACCCGUGUUUACUGUACCUUAGUUGCUUCGGCGGGCCCGCCAUUCAUGGCCGCCGGGGGCUCUCAGCCCCGGGCCCGCGCCCGCCGGAGACACCACGAACUCUGUCUGAUCUAGUGAAGUCUGAGUUGAUUGUAUCGCAAUCAGUUAAAACUUUCAACAAUGGAUCUCUUGGUUCCGGCAUCGAUGAAGAACGCAGCGAAAUGCGAUAACUAGUGUGAAUUGCAGAAUUCCGUGAAUCAUCGAGUCUUUGAACGCACAUUGCGCCCCCUGGUAUUCCGGGGGGCAUGCCUGUCCGAGCGUCAUUGCUGCCCAUCAAGCACGGCUUGUGUGUUGGGUCGUCGUCCCCUCUCCGGGGGGGACGGGCCCCAAAGGCAGCGGCGGCACCGCGUCCGAUCCUCGAGCGUAUGGGGCUUUGUCACCCGCUCUGUAGGCCCGGCCGGCGCUUGCCGAACGCAAAUCAAUCUUUUUCCAGGUUGACCUCGGAUCAGGUAGGGAUACCCGCUGAACUUAAG